AGCAGCCGCGGUAAUUCCAGCUCCAAUAGCGUAUAUUAAAGUUGUUGCAGUUAAAAAAGCUCGUAGUUGAAUUUCGGGAUCAAUAUAUCGGUCGUGCCAUUGGUACGUACUGGUAUCAUUGGUUUCUCCUUUCUGACGAACCAUGAUGUCAUUAAUUUGGUGUUAUGGGAAGUUAGGACUGUUACUUUGAAAAAAAUUAGAGUGUUUAAAGCAGGCUUUAGCUUGAAUACAUUAGCAUGGAAUAAUGAAAUAGGACGUUCGAACCUAUUUUGUUGGUUUCUAGGAUCAACGUAAUGAUUAAUAGGGAUAGUUGGGGGCAUUAGUAUUCAAUUGUCAGAGGUGAAAUUCUUGGAUUUAUUGAAGACUAACUACUGCGAAAGCAUUUGCCAAGGAUGUUUUCAUUAAUCAAGAACGAAAGUUAGGGGAUCGAAGACGAUCAGAUACCGUCGUAGUCUUAACCAUAAACUAUGCCGACUAGGGAUCGGAUGAUGUUAAUUUUUUAAUGACUCAUUCGGCGCCU
rnacentral:rRNA from 1 species